GGGAGAUUCAAAAGUUCAUGCUUAGCAGCAACAAAGCUUCAGAUCAAAAUUCUAGAAUGUUCUGAUCUACUUAUGAAUGGAGGAGAGGAAUGGACUUAUUUAUUUCACUGUUUCUCCUCUGCUUACAGACAACUUGGAUAGGAUGUAUUCUCAGUCCUGAGCUAGUUUAAGAGUAACUGGAACCAAGACAAUUCAAUGUGGAAAGAACAGCCCUUUCACUAAAUGGUACUGGGACAAUUGGAUAUCCACGUGCAAAAGAAUGAAGCUGGACCCCUGUAUUAGUCAACUCAGGCCACCAUUAGUCAACAAAAUACCAUAGACUGGGUGGCUCAAGCAACAGAAAUUUAUUUUCUCUUCUGGAGGCUAGUAGUCUGACAUCAGGGUGCCAGUAUGGCUGGAUUCUGGAAGCUGUCAGAUGAACUCUAUGCACUAAUGUGCCUGAGUCUGUGUUCCUUGAGAGCGCCACCCCAGGACUGUGUCGCAGCCGUCUAAUGAGCAUUAACAAUUGCACAUGAGGCAAGCAUCCAAGAGAGUUCUACAUUUCUUGCCAAGCACAGAAGGAGAAGGUGAGACAAUCACGAACAGAGCUUAAAGAAACCUCAUACAUGCUGUGGUGGAGAGUGAGGAUGCACAAUGGGACAAAGGAAAGAGACCCGAGGGUCUUUGCCACCUGGCCCACUGCUUCUUACCAGCUUUAACUCCAAGAGAACACACUCCAGACGAGUCCAGUUCACCUCUUCCUCGUGAAAGGAGAGAACAGCUAAUGUCUUGCAGCUUAAUUUGUGAUUAUAUUACAGGAGAGCACAUCAACAGAAUAAAUCCAAAUGAUGACACAAGGAAAAUAUUCAAAGAAAUAGUAACACAAUGAUCCAAGAACUUAUAGCCAGUGAGCAUCAACACACAGAGAACUAAAACAGACUCCUUUCCAAAAUCAGGAAUCAUUGUAUCAGUAAACUAUAUCUAUUUAAAAAAAAAAGUUGAGGGAAUCAGAAGCAGAUGUCUUCUUUAAACUCUAGAAUUAGUUCAAGGACUCCUGCUCUAUUUCUUGAUGAUGCCCCUUAAAGUGUGUGUGUGUGUGUGUGUCUGUUUGUCCGUGUGUGUCUCUGUAACAUAUACAGCAUUGACAGUACAAGCAAACAGGACAAGGUAGAAAAUGAGAAUUCUAAGAUCUGUCUGAGAUAAGUCA
rnacentral:lncRNA from 1 species